UCUUCUUAAAGUUCAACAAAAAAAAAUAGUUUAGUUAGGAUUCUUUUCUAAUCAAAAUUGAACUUUUCAUGGUCAGGGUAUUAGUAUUGAAGCCUAAGACCUUGUUUAUCGGUGGGUUCAUACCCGGCUCUUACUGUUUUGUUGCCAAAAAAUAAAUGAAAAGAAAAGAAAAAAUUCGAAUUGACAAUGGAAGAAGAUGAAAUCAAAGGAGAUGGAAUCAGAGGACAAUCAGGUCGGAGGAGGUGCGACGGAGAUUGAAUCGGCGGAGGCUAAUCGGAGGGUUUUGAAUCGAGGAGAAUGUUGUCGAGAUUGUUCAAAGCUGGUGAAAAGGUUUUGUUGAAUCUGGUUAACAAGAAAGACUUUCACAUGGCGUCAAGGAAUCAGGAGAAUUCUUCUCCCAGAGUAAAAGAGCUUUACGACCUCUGCAAGGAGACUUUCACUGGCAAAGCUCCUUCUCCUGCUUCCAUGGCUGUCCAAAAACUAUGCUCUGUCUUGGGUAUAUCUUUCUUUCUUUCUUCUUCUGUCUCUGUUUGAUUUUCACGGAUUGCAGUUUCUGCUGGUUUUGAUUGAAUAUACAUAUAUUGGUAGUCAUUUAGAAAGAUUUGGUUAAAACUGUUUUAGAUUGGUUUCAUUUGAUUUUGAAUAAACGUGGGAAUAGCUCAAUUAAUUUGUGAAUUCCACUAAAUCUGGGCAAUUGCGAAUUCACAAUUUGAAGUCGUUAGUCACAAUUUGAAGUCGUUAGUAUCAGAGUUGCAAAUCUGUUUCCAUGAAGAUGAAAGGCUUCUUGUUUCAGAGUUCAUGCCUAAUGAUACUCUUGCUAAGUGUUUGUUCCAUCGUAUGAUUCCUUCUCUCUUCAUCAUCUUCUUUUGUGAAUCUGAGGUUAUAGACGCUGCAUUGUUGGUUUAUGUGACAUGUUUUGUUUUAAAGAUGGUGUUAAAGUAUCUGCUGUUAUAGAAUCGAUUGAAACAGAACUAGCUAGCAUCUUCUCUGUUUUGAAUCUGGAGGCAAAUAAUAUUGGUGAUUUAUGUGUCACAUUAAACAUUGGUGAAUCUGAGGUUUGUGUGUCAAGAACUCAUGAUUGUGCAUGUAGAAUUGAUUGAAACAUAAUUUAUUAGCAUUCUCGGUUUUAAUUCUGAAGUCAUAGAGAGGCGGCAUUGGUGGUUUAAGUAGCAUGGUUGUGUUUUAGAUUCUUAAUGAAAGAAACUUUUAUAUGACUAGCAUGUAUAAACGUAUCUGCUUUUGUGGAAUGUUUUACAACAUAACUUGUAUCUGCUUCAAGAGAACCCAACUCUCAAAGAAGCGAAGAGAGAAACAUCAGAGGCAACAUGUAUCAAAGCUGAAACACAAAGAAGACAAAGAAGAAGCUUCUUCAGAUGCUAUGGAAGUGGAAGACAAAGCCAGCGUUGAUGGUCAUGUCUCAGCUCAAGGAGAAGCAGCAUUUUCUAGUUGGACUUGUGUGGCAUGAGCUUCUUUUCUUAUGGCCGCUCUCCAUUGCUAAUGUCUACGCCAUUCUCGUUGGAAAGUUGUGGUUUGGUACCACCUGCUUGUUGUAUGGAGUUUCCCUCGUUACUUCCAUGGUACACUGGUUUCAAUUUUCUUGAUUUUCGGGUUUUAGGUUAGUAUAUUGAUCUGAGGGGCAUAACUUUGUUCUUUGAUAUUGAGGAUCUGCAAACAAUAUUUACACAUAGGGAUAUACUACUUCUAUUCUA